CCUACGGGAGGCAGCAGUGAGGAAUAUUGGUCAAUGGGCGGAAGCCUGAACCAGCCAAGUAGCGUGCAGGAUGACGGCCCUACGGGUUGUAAACUGCUUUUAUACGGGAAUAACGCGCCUUACGUGUAGGGCUUUGCAUGUACCGUAUGAAUAAGGACCGGCUAAUUCCGUGCCAGCAGCCGCGGUAAUACGGAAGGUACGGGCGUUAUCCGGAUUUAUUGGGUUUAAAGGGAGCGUAGGCCGCAUGUCAAGCGUGCUGUGAAAUGUCCGGGCUCAACCCGGGCCUUGCAGCGCGAACUGGCGUGCUUGAGUCCGCGGAAAGCAGGCGGAAUUCGUCGUGUAGCGGUGAAAUGCUUAGAUAUGACGAAGAACCCCGAUUGCGAAGGCAGCCUGCUGCAGCGGAACUGACGCUGAUGCUCGAAAGCGCGGGUAUCGAACAGGAUUAGAUACCCGAGUAGUC
rnacentral:rRNA from 1 species